GAAAUGCGAUACGUAGUGUGAAUUGCAGAAUUCCGUGAAUCAUCGAAUCUUUGAACGCAUAUUGCGCUCGAGACUUCGGUCGAGAGCAUGCCUGUCUCAGCGUCGGCUCACCCCUCGCCCACCCUUUCCCCUUCACCGGAGGAGAGGUGCCUGGACGGACGUGGCCGUCUCGCUUUCCCGGUAUCAUCACCGGGAGAGCGGGUCGGCUGAAGUGCAGGGCCCGCGGCGCGACCCGGACGAGAGGGCGCCAGCAUGGUAGGUGGCUCAACGCUGCAUGCCGCUGUCGCCUUUCAUCUCGGCCCGAAUCAAGGUCGCAUCCAAUCGUCCGCUCGGCCACCAAGCAGGAACGGUCGCCCGGUUCGCAGCAAUGCGGCGGGCGACUUCAACCCUUCGACCUGAG
rnacentral:misc_RNA from 1 species